rnacentral:misc_RNA from 1 species
GAAAUGCGAUACGUAAUGUGAAUUGCAGAAUCUCGUGAAUCAUCGAAUCUUUGAACGCAUAUUGCGCCCCUGGGUAUUCCUGGGGGCACGCCUGUUUGAGAACCACAACGUAUCUCACCCAUUCCUCACCGGCCUCGGCUGUGUGGGGAAGCGGUGGAUUUGGGCCAUCACACAAACGAAAGUUGUGCGCGGCCUCAAAACCAGUGUUUUCGAGAGGGUGCUGAGAUAUUCACCAGCUCAAGAACUCCAAGACGUGAUAAUAUGGGCUUUGGCCUGUUGAAGCGUUGAAAGCGAGUUUUUGGUGGACAUCUUGGCUCUUUUGAGCCCUCGCGACGAAAUUCAUGCCAGGCGAGCUUUUUCAUUAAAGCCGAAAACCUGAACACUUGGUCUCAAAUCAGAC